GAUGAACGCUGGCGGCGUGCCUAAUACAUGCAAGUCGAGCGGACGGACGAGAAGCUUGCUCCUCUGAUGUUAGCGGCGGACGGGUGAGUAACACGUGGAUAACCUACCUAUAAGACUGGGAUAACUUCGGGAAACCGGAGCUAAUACCGGAUAAUAUUUUGAACCGCAUGGUUCAAAAGUGAAAGACGGUCUUGCUGUCACUUAUAGAUGGAUCCGCGCUGCAUUAGCUAGUUGGUAAGGUAACGGCUUACCAAGGCAACGAUGCAUAGCCGACCUGAGAGGGUGAUCGGCCACACUGGAACUGAGACACGGUCAAGACUCCUACGGGAGGCAGCAGUAGGGAAUCUUCCGAAAUGGGCGAAAGCCUGACGGAGCAACGCCGCGUGAGUGAUGAAGGUCUUCGGAUCGUAAAACUCUGUUAUUAGGGAAGAACAUAUGUGUAAGUAACUGUGCACAUCUUGACGGUACCUAAUCAGAAAGUCACGGCUAACUACGUG
rnacentral:rRNA from 1 species